rnacentral:rRNA from 1 species
CCUACGGGAGGCAGCAGUGAGGAAUAUAGGACAAUGAGGGGGAGGCUGAACCAGCCAAGUAGCGUGAAGGAUGACUGCCCUACGGGUUGUAAACUUCUUAUAUAAAGGAAUAAAGUGAGGCACGUGUGCCUUUUUGUAUGUACUUUAUGAAUAAGGAUCGGCUAACUCCGUGCCAGCAGCCGCGGUAAUACGGAGGAUCCGAGCGUUAUCCGGAUUUAUUGGGGUUAAAGGGAGCGUAGAUGGGUUGUUAAGUCAGUUGUGAAAGUUUGCGGCUCAACCGUAAAAUUGCAAUUGAUACUGGCAGUCUUGAGUACAGUUGAGGUAGGCGGAAUUCGUGGUGUAGCGGUGAAAUGCUUAGAUAUCACGAAGAACUCCGAUUGCGAAGGCAGCUUACUAAACUGCCACUGACAUUGAUGCUCGAAAGUGUGGGUAUCAAACAGGAUUAGAUACCCUGGUAGUC